rnacentral:lncRNA from 1 species
ACCUUCCUGCCAGAGGACAGACAGGGAAGCUGGGCAGAGCCCGGGGAGGAGCGAGGCCCAGCGGUUGGGGAUCUUCUCGCUCCCACUCCCAGGGAACACCUGGCAGGGUUGGGCGAUGGAACCCCCCAAAACGUGAGCACAUCCUGCGGCCGGAGCCUGUGGAGGCGACAUUCCUGGGAAAAGGAUCUUCGCAGACGCGGCCCUAGUCGAGGACCUCCAGGUGGGAUCGUCCGCGUGGGCCUUCGCUCCAACACUGGCAUCCUCAGAAGUCAGAGUAGAGGCCAGAGCCCAGGAUGCCAGGAGCCCUCGGGAGCUGGAAGAGGCAGGAAUGGGCCUCCCCUGCGGCCUCCGGAGGGCAUGCGGCCCUGCCCACACCCGACGCUGGACUUCCGGCCUCCAGCACUGGGAGAGAGGAUUAUUCUGUUGUUCGACACCCCCCAGGGGCGGCACAGAAGCCACAGGAACCCGACACGUUGCCCGAGCUUCCAGUCCAUGGGCUGAGCACAAAGCUGUCCCGACCAGCAGCCACAGCCCUGCUCCUGGGUCCCAGCAAGGGUCAAGGGAGGCCCUGACGCUUGUCCAGGUGCACACAGGGGGGUCUGAGCACUCAGACCCUCACCUGGGACGUGUGCCCGCUCUUGUGCGGGACGCCCUCCCUAGGCCUGGAAGGAAGGUGAGGACCCAGCACCUGGAGACACCUGGAUUUCUGCGCUGGAAGGUCCAGCGAUGGGGACCUCUUCACCCUGCCCCUCCACCUGCCGACGCGGAGACAGCUGUGCCCGGAGCCCCCGUGGCUCCUGUCGUCCCAUCCACCAGAUGCCCAGGGCUCCUCCUGCCACCGCCCUCACCUCCUGCUGUUAACCCUGAACGUCACAGCUCUGGACCCUGGGUUCACCCACAGUGCAGAGCCGAGCCCCUCCCCCAGGCCUGCAGUGCCUGCGCCAGCAACUUAAACUUGAGCUCAGCGCUGGCCCAGGAGCUGAUGGGAAGAACUGCGCAGCCUCCCCCAGCCCCACAGUCCAGCCUGACCCACCUUGGACGCUGGGGUCCUGGGGGCAGCGCAGGCAGUUGGGGGAGACUGCCCUGGCCUGGCCGGGCAGGGCGGGGUCCCUGGAGGGAAGUCCCCCCAGCUUUGUACAAGGGUCUGUCCUGGGACGGGGGAGGGCCUUUUCCAGGCGUGCAGUACUCAGGGCCCCGGCACAGCUCACAGGGCAGCCCCACAGGGCACCUCCUGUCCUCGCCCUCCAGCAUUGCUGGGUUUCCCACUGGGACCAGGCCUGGGUCAACCCAUCUCUCCCUCCUGGGGUCCCGGAGGCACAGGGCAGCCAGGAAUCCGGGUACCUGA